UGUCGAAGUGGCAGAUCUAUGCGAUAGCUUUAAAGACUAUGUACGGCCGGGCCCUUUGAUA
rnacentral:tRNA from 1 species